AUAGUCUCACUUUUUUGUUCUUUAAAUAGUGGAUCAUCUAAAUUGACUUACAAUAAAAAUGUCAUCCACCUCAACUCACCGUCGCAGAUUAAAGAUAGAAAAUCCAGAAAAGUAUAAUGAAUUGUUGGUGAAGCAGAGAGCAGCCACAAAGAAGUAUCAACUAAAAAAAAGAGAGAGUGGGAAGAAAGUACACAUAGCCAGCUGGAGAUAGAUGAACACAAGGCUAAGAAAGAAAAGAAAAGACAGUAUUCAAGAGACUAUUAUUGGAAAUCAAAGACACGGAAGUCUAAUGAAACACCAAACAGUGCAGGUUCCACUCCAAGACCUGCGCAUGAUAAAAAGAGACCCAAAGAUAUGUCACCAAAUGAGCUAAGGAAAUAUCAAUCAAGCCAGAGAAGAGCUCAGCGAGCAGCUUUGAACCAUAAAAAAAAAACAGCUAUAAGGCUUAAAAACAGAGAAAGGAUGAGAAAAUAACGUGAGGAAGCUAAGCUGGCUAGAAUUAGUAGUAGUCCUGUUGCAUCAUCAGAUAGAGUUACACGUCUCAAUCAAUCAGCUUACAUUCUGAAU
rnacentral:sRNA from 1 species